CCAACUUCUCUUUUUCGUGAAACAUAUUCAAUGGUUAAUUCACUGGUCAAUUCUUAGCAAGAGGCAGUUUAAUGUAUAACUUUGUAGGUGCUUUCAGUGUUCGAAGUACAAAUAACUCCGGCAAUUGAUUUGGGGCGUUUAAGAUAUUCUGGAGUAUUGUUGCCUCCACUAUUGCUAGAGGGACAAGGUAUUCCUCUGGCACUGGAAACAUA